rnacentral:rRNA from 1 species
GGUUGACCUCGGAUUAGGUAGGAAUACCCGC